UUCUAUUAAUCACUAUUUUCUUUCAUCCAGCAGUUUCCUCUCAUUUUUCAUAUCCCACAACUUCAUCAUCCUUUUUUUCCUUUUUAAUUUUAAAAAUGAUUCGAUCGAACCCUAUGUAGGUUUCCUACGUAUCAUGUGACACAUGAAUCAAACCAAGCGUAGUUCUAGAAAAGUAAUAGACAAAUAAACUAAAAAACAAAAAUCUUUUUGGAUUUUUCAUUUAAAACUUUUUUUUGUUUUCAAAUACAAAUGGGAAGUACGAUGACAAAAGACUCGGAAAACUCUUACACCACCUAAAAGACUCAAAAAUACUAGACAAGACAAGAAAGUAAAAGAAAACAUGAAAACAGACUCAAAAUAUAAAAAGUCUCUUCAAACAAGCUCUCAAAUGCAAUGGUCCUGGAGUAUCUGUCAUGCUCGAGCUCUGGUACAUGGAUCCAUGCCUGAAUGAGAAAAACAAGACCAAAUGAUUAGUGACUCAAGACACUAUAUGAUGCCACGACACCUUGUAUUGGACACAUGCAAGGCACGAUUAAGGCUAUUUUUGCAAAAUGACCUACGUGGCCAAAAUGUGGCUAGAAGUACAAACUCAACAAAAUGCACCUUAAACAAAGAGGACACUUUGUUGUGGACUUAGGACUCUAAGACAUGAAUCACUAAACCACUUUUGCGAAAAUGAUCCCAUUUUGCAAGAACGACCGAUGGGUCAAAAGCGGCUAGGUAUGCAAAUUCAACAAGGACGGGCCUUAAAGUAAGGAGACAGCUAAUUGUGGAUUCUAGACUCCCCAAACACAGUUCAACAAGUCACUUGGCAAAAUAGCCCUAUUUUAUAAAAAGGCCGAUGUGGCCAAAAGUGGCUAGACAUGCAAGAUUUGGCUACCACCCCCGAAGCCAAGAAUGAGAAUUAGGUAUGUGUAGUUCGGGAAGAUUGGCCAAAAUUGAAAAGACUUACAAAAGGGUCAAUUAAACUUGAAAAAAUGAGUUGCUUCUUUUUGAUUUUUUGUAAAAAUGGUAUGAAGGUGUAAAAUCUUUUUGGAAUUUUUCUUUCAUUUUUUUUGAAAACAAUUGUGAAAGAGAAAAUAAAAGUGGGCCCUCUUGCUUUAUUUUUCUCCCUUCUUUCCCAAACAUCUGUCCAUCAAAUGACAUUUCUACCCUCAAAGAUGUAACAUUUAGCAGAUAAGAUGAUUGAAUGUCACUUUGGGCCAGCGGGCCCAUUUGACACAAUUUGGACAUGUUUUCUACAAAGGACACAACACCUUAGACCGGGCCCUACUAGGUCAUAAUGAUAUGAUGCAAAAAAAAUGACCUAAAGGUUGACCUACGUUUGGGGUUCACUAACAAGGCAAUUCGGGGGAGCGUAUGGUCGAUAGUGGUUGCUUAAGCUUUCCACCCACUCCAUACGUUCGACGGCCCCCCUCCUAAAAUAAGGGUGAUUCAACAAAGAGUUUGUGUACCCGAUGCGUACUACAAGACUUGUUGCAGAAAGAAGACCCAUGAUUAUGCAUAUGUUGACAGUUAUAAAACGGUAACCACAUAAGGAAAAGCGAUAAACAAAUAACCAACAAAACAGAAAAUAAGACAAACAAAGCGAAUAAAGAAAACAAAUACCUCAAUUGAAUAUCCUAAAAGCCAACAAGAUCAAGUAUCAGCUCGAACCUGCAACUCCCCAGCAGAGUCGCCAGAGCUGUCACACCUUUUUUUUUUACACCUCUACUAACCCUUUUAAAAUAAUAAAAAGAUUUGUAAAGAUCAAAAAGUGUUUUCAUUUAGAAAAAGUGACAAAAGAUUGUGUUUUAUAAGGAUUUUCAGAGUGGCCACCAAAUAUUUGGUUUCAGUGUGCCUGGUCACCAUUUUAUUUUAAAAUAACAAUUUCCCUUCAAAACACGUUUGACUCUUAAACAAGUUUUCACGAGAGAUUCAAGGUAAGGGGGUUCAUUUGACUCUGGGAGAAGGUGUUAGGCAUUCCCCGAGUCCCAUGAAAGUCAGGUUGCGUACCCGAUCAAAUUGGCUUUUAAAAUAUUCAAAUUGAGGUAAAAACACACGAAAGCGGCAGUAAACACAAAAGGAUCGAGGUCUUCCCCACCUAAUAAAAGAAAACAAAACAAAAAGACUAAGUCUCUCUAUCCUAUCUUGUGCCUCUAACAAUGAUGCCACGACCCCCAUUUACACUCACUUCGGGGCAUAUCCCUGAACAAAAAUAUAUACAGAAUCCACGGGGCAUUCCCCUGAAUAUAACUAAAGAGAACGAACUCUCACCUCAAAAUUUAACAAACAAAAUCCUAAAAUUUGCCCACCCAAACAUUAACGGCCUAAACAUGCCCCUAGCGAUUAAACUAAUAAAUCAAAACAAAAAAAAAACCUCUAAAGCUCAAAUCGUUACAAAUUUAGUUCUCAACUACUACUAAUUUGUUUUGGGAAAUGCAAACCCAUAUUUUGUUUUUUAACAUCCCGAACCUCACGAUCCAAUUAAUUCAAUAUGUCACCACCUUCAUUCAACUUAAUUAUUUGUCUUCAUUUUUUUAAAAAAAUUUAUAGGACAUAUUUAUAAAAAAUAAUUCAAAAAAAUAAUUAAAAAAGUGACAAGAAAACCAACCAAGAUUAAACAGAUCAAUGCAUAUUCAAACUUAUUGAAAUAGAAAGUAAAUCUAUUAAUUAAUAAAAAAUGAACAGAUAUGGAAAGAGACGGACCUCAAUAAUAAAUUCCUUAGAAUUAACGAGAACUCGGUAAUGAAAAUCUUCGACGAACUAAAUCUGACUGAAAAAUGCAACAACAUUAAAAGAUUGAUCUGCGGACCAUGAAAAUAACCUCGAACGGCACCUCGACAUCAAUCGAACCAAGCCAGCUUCAAAUUUAAAGAAAAAAUUCCUUAUGUCUAAUAGUCAGCUCCUCCAGAUCUCCAUUUUUCUUGUCUAAUCUCUGUCCCUUCCCUUUCGUUAUCCUCCCUUCUUUUUUCUGUUUUUUUAGCUUUGGUAUCAAAUCAGCGAUCAAACAUCAAUUACCUUUUACUAACUUAACAAAGAGAAAACUGCUCAAUGCCUCAAUAGCUCAUGCUUCACUUCACUUGCCAAUCGCCAAAUCUAACUCCAUAGAAGAAGGGGGAUUUAAUGAAAUUUCACCAAAAAGGAAAAAGGUGAGCAGGCGGGAGUGGAGUAACGGCGGCAGAGGCUUCUGAAAUUAGGUGUGCUCUGUUUUCUCUUAGAGUUGGGUGGUGAUGGAAUUUUUAAGAAUGACGGAGGCGGCCGCUGGUCAUAGGGUGGAGGAAUUGGGGUGGUGUGCGGCUGGUUUUUGUCUGGGAGAUGGAGAUGGGAGGGUGCGGCCAUUUUUUGGGAGUUAGGUCUUUCUCUGUUCUUGGGUGUGUGUGAUGGCUGCUCUAAGGUGAAGAUGGGGGGUUAGGUUGGCGGCUAAAGGAGAUAUAGGUUAGGGUGGUUGGGCGUUCGGGUUUCCGGCGAGAUGGGCGGAGAUGGGCUGUUGUUGCUCUCAAAGUUUGAGAGAAAACUUGAACUCUCAAGGGGGGGGGACGACUGACUUCUUUUAGGAUUAUUAGGGUUUAGAUGAUAUUUUUAUAUGGCUGUAAAAAAUGAUCUUAUCCAUUAUAUGGGGAUUGGGUGAAUGGCUUGGAUUAAUUCCUCCAAAAGGGCUGAUGGGUCAAGAGAUUGCGCUCAGGUGGAAGAUUCAAAUUUGGGUUCUAAAAUUGGGUUCCAAGACUUUAAAAAUUAUUGUCUAAAACCUUAGCUAAAUUCCUUUUAUAUGAGAUAAAAAUACUACACAAUGCAAAAAUUAACUUUAAUUAAUUAAACUAAACUAUAUUAAAAUAUGAAACUUUUUUUUUGUAUUUUUACGAAAUUAUAUUAAAAUAAAAGUGAAGAUAAGUAACUUAGAAUCCUUCUAGAAUUAAAAUAAUAUCAUUAUAAAAGGACUAAUGACCUCAAUAGAAAUGAAAAUAUUUUUGUGUUUUUGAUUUUAAAAAUUCUAAAACAAACCGAAUAAAAUAAAAAUAAAGAUAAUAUAUUAGAAUCCUAGAAAAAUUUAAAUAACUCAGAUAAAUAAAUAUAUAAAAUAGGUGAAACUACUAAUAUAGCUUGAAGACGUGGAGGGUCAAAAAUUACAUGUAUACAGUUCAUGAAGGAGAACCUUGGAGCAACAAUAAAGUUGCUUCCGUGUGACGUAUAAGUCACGGGUUCGAACCUUGGAAGCGGCCACUAAUACUUGCAUUAGAGUAUGUUGUCUGUAUCACACAUCUUGGGUGGGGGUCAUUAAUCUAAUCCUGUGUGAAUGGGGGAUGCUUUAUGCACCACAAAACUCUUUUAUGGAAAGUACUCGUUCAUAUGAACCCGAUACCUGUCUUUUGGUACGCGGGAUAAGGUGGAAUAAAUUGUGGUACUAAAUUAUUGUAAUGACUCGACCGACCGUUUUGAGCUCUAACACGUCGUUCAACAGUUUGAGGCUAUGAGUAGCUUCGCUUCAGGUAUUAUGACUUGUACGCAUUAUCGGAAUCGAAUUCCGGGAAAUUCGGAGCUGAUUUGGGAAGAGAAUUUUCAUUUCGGAAGCCUUAAGUUGGAUGAACUGACUAAGAUUGGAUUUUUGGAGUAAAAGACCUCGGGAUCAGGAUUCGAAAGUUUCAGUAGGUUCGUGUGAUGAUUUCAGACUUGGGCAUAUGUCUGGAUCGGGUUUUGGAAGACCCGGGAAUGUUUCAUCACCUAUUGUAGAAGUUAGCAUUUUAAGAAAAAUUUCAUAAGUUUGAGUUGAAGUGCAUUUCAGUGUUAUCAAUGAACUUUUAGGAUUCCGAGUCAAGGAGUAGCUCUGUAUGGUGAUUCUUGUAUUGGGAGCGUGAUCGGAAGUGAAUUCAGAGGUCUGUGGGUCAUUUUAGAGUCAUUUGGCUAAAGCUAGAAAUUUGAAAGUUUUUGAGAAGUUUGACCGGAAGUGGACUUUUUGAUAUCAGGGUCAGAUUCUGAAUCCGGAAGUUGGAAUAGGUCCGUAAUGGCAAAAUGUGACUUGUGUGAAUAAUUUGAGGUCAAUCGGACAUGAUUUGAUAUGUUUCAGCAUUGAAUGUAGAAGUUUGAAAUUCUAAAGUUCAUUAAGCUUAGAUUGGAGGUCGAUUCAUGAUUUUAGCAUUGUUUAAUAUGAUUUGAGGCCUCGAGCAAGUACGUAAUGUAUUUUGGGACUGGUUGGUAUGAUUGGUUGGGGUCCCGGGACCUUUGGUGGAUUCCAGAUGGUUAACGGAUCAAAAAAUGGAAUUUGGAGAAGGUUUGAUGCAGUUGGUAUCUGGUGUAACCGCACCUACGAAGCUUUGGCCGCAAAUGCGGAUCCGCCGGAGCGGCCAUAGGGUCACAGAUGCAAUUUUGGUGGGGGAGAGUUGGGACCGCAGAUGUGGUCAUUUUGCCGCAAAAGCGAGACUGCACCUGCGGAGGUAAGGAUGCAAAAACGGGAAUGGGCUGGGAGCCCUGGACCGUAGAAGCGGCGUUUAGUCCACACCUGCGGGACCGCAGGUGCGAAGAGGCUGGAGGCAGUGAGCUCUCUUUAAAAAUCGAGUUUUGGAUCAUUUCCACCCAUUUUCAUUUCGGGUUGGGGGAUUUUGGAGCUUUUGGAAGAGAGAUUUUCUUCAUCUACGUCAAGGUAAGUUGUUCCCACUCAUUAGACGUUAAAUACAUGGUUUUGUUACGGAUUUGAGCAUGAAAAUUGAUAGAAACUUGGGGUUUGAGGGAAAACCUAGAAAAUUGAUAUUCUUGGAUUUUGACUACGAUUUUGGGUAUGAAAUUGAGAGUGAAUUAUAUAAUUGAGUUCGUGAGGCUAUGGGUAAACUUAAUCUUCAAAAAAUUUUGGAAUCCAGGCACGUGGGCGUUUUUGUCAUCUUUUUGAUCGGGGUUAGAAAUUAUUAUAAAUUGGAUUCUAAUGAGCAAUUGAACAUAUAUUAAUGGGUUUACAUAAUGAUUGGCUAGUUUUGGAGUGUUGUGCGUCACUUUGAGUUUUCAGAAGGGCGUGGAAUGCCGGUGAUGGAUCUUCGGAGCGAGGUGAGUCUCCUUUAUAACCUUGUAAGAGGGAAUUGUCCCAUAGGUGAAAUAAUUUUUUAUGUGCUUCUAUUUGUGGGGGCUAUGUACGCACGAGGUGACGAGAGUCCGUGCGUAGCUACUAUUAUUUGUAAGUCCGGGUAGUCUAGGACCCAGAAGUAUGCUAUACUUGGAAUAUUUGUAAUUUUAUUGACUGUUGAGUUGCUUAAAUCCUAUCGAAUUGGUAAGUGAAUUUAUAAAAGAAUUAAACUUCAUUUUCUUAAAUCAUUAAAAGAGAACUAGCUUUUAUUGAAUAAACGUUCCCCGAUAAAUUCUUAAUUGGAGGUUUGAAUGCGUGUAUCUAUGUGUGCCCGUGUCGCAUGUAUGAUUCGCAAGCGGGGUGUUUGUUUAUUUAUGUUGACCGCAUCGCAUGUAUGAUUCACGAGCAGGGUAAUAGAUGUAUCUAUGGUUCGCACCGUUCGACCCUCGGAAGUGCACAUUUUACAUUUAUGUUGGAUCGGGCCUUACGACCUUGGCAUGAUAUGCGCAUGCUUAUAUGUUUUCCUGGGAUUUAUAAAUGUUGAUAUUUACCUUUCCUGGCCAGAGAUAAAUUGAUAAAGAUGAUGAAAAGUAAAUCUUUGGUACCCAUUAUUAUUUGAGAAGUUGUUUACCUGCUAUCCGGCUUUAUAAGUUUAUAAUUGCUUUGUAAAUCCAUGAUCUCCUCCCAUUUUUACAAAUACUAUUAUUGGACCACUAGUAAGUGUCGAAGUCGACCUCUCAUCUCUACUUCUUCGAGAUUAGACAGAAUAUUCACUGAGUACACGUUGUUUUCGUACUCAUACUACACUUGCUGUGCAUUUUUGUUGCACUGCCACAUGCAUCUCUAGUGGCCUAGUGGGUGUAGCAGCAUGGUUGAUACAGAGACUUAGGUGAGCUGCACUUUUCGAGACGACCCGCAGCCAGCAGAGUCUCUUUCAGAUUACUGUAUUUACUUUCCGUCCAAUAUUGUAUUCCGGAUAGUUGUUGUAUUACAUUAUUUCCUAGAAAUUGCUCAUGCACUUGUGACACCGAAUUCUGGGAUGAUUAUGAGGUAUUUUGUAUUUACUUCUAAACGUUCUUUUAUUUAAUUUCGUAAAGAUUAUCUUUUACUAUCUGAAUUGAAGGAAAAUUUCAGUUUUCAAAAUUAUUAAGAUAAGAAUUAAAUUAAGCAUUUAUGGUUGGCUUGCCUGACAGCGGUGUCCGGUGCCAUCACGACCCUUAGCGGAUUUUGGAUCGUGACAACAUGGUAUCAAAGCCCUAGGUUCCCUUAGGUCUCACGAGUCAUGAGCGAGUCUAGUAAAGUCUUGCGGAUCGGUAUAGAGACGUCUGUACUUAUCUUCGAGUGGCUACGGGGCUGUUAGGAGUACUUCCCUUCUUGAUUCCUCAUCGUGUGGUUUGAUUCCUUUGAGGAUUAUACCUUUAUUUCCUUCCUAUUAAAUCUCAUGUGAUGUGAAAUGCUUAUUAUAAAUUGAGAAUUGAAGGAUUUUAAUGGAACUAUAGAUGUGGUGCGAGAUGUUUCUCCCUGCAUAGUUGAUUAGGCUAUUACCGUCGCCUUGCAAAAGAUUAUCUUGUCCUUUUAGAUUAGUAGUUGUACUUCUGAGAGCUUUGAGGCUAUGCAUAGGUUGCUUGGAUGCUCUUGAAUGUUUAUCGCACAGUAGUGACGUGAUGGUAGGAUGCAUGCCCAUGUGUUAGGGUAGUGAAUGACUUGAAAGGAGAUUUACUCAGUGCAUGGUUCCGAUAUUUAGUAUCUUAUUUCUGGUAGAGGAAAAGCAAUUGGCCUAUGAAUGUCCAGAUUUGUGUGGAGGAAGUAACGAGACUUGGUAUCUUCGAGCGUGGUGGAAUUUUCAUUUGCGAUGUGGGGUCGUCGUCCUCAAUUGAAUGAGUUAAGUUCGCCGAUGUUAUGGUCUUCUGCAAUUCACAUUUAGGGCAGGAUAUUGUGAAAUAGUAUUUGAGGAGCGGUUGUCAGAGAUCGCGGGGUGCAGUUGUUCAGGAUGGAAUCAAUGUUUCUAAUGUUGACGGCUUGAGAAAGAUGAUCUUCGAAAAGAUUUAGAGUUAGUAACGAUCUAUUAGUUCCAAUGUUACAGAGAUAGAGAUUGGAUCAAGGCAUCAAUCAGGCAUCAAAGGAUAAGGGAGGACUUGUGGGAAGUGUUAGGCGGCGGUUAAAUUUCUAGAAGACUAGGUGUAAGAAGCGAAGGUCGAAUAGUUGUUUAAAGGAGUGAGUUUGGCCAAAUUGAGAGAGUGGCAGAGUUGCAUAUGGGUUUUGUGGUAGGAUGACUACGUACCUUAAGAAAGUUUGGAGUGAUUUGAGGAAUUUUAGUGGACGGUGAAUGGGCCUACGAGCUUAAUUUGAAAUAUUGGCCAGCAUACGGUAGGAGACUUGAUAUGACGGAAAGGAGCUGCUUGAUAUGAAGAAGGAUACAACAUAACUUUGAAUUGGAAGAUAUUGUAGCACAUUUGGUUGAUAUCCACGAGGAGUGAAUGGACUUGUGCAGCUGGUGAAGGAGCACGUGCUCAUAAGGGGUUAUAGAUGUCAUAGUGACUGUACCUCAUGCAGCGACAUUGGAAGAUAUCGAUAAGUGAUUUCCACAAGUGGGUUAUCCCCUGUGAGUAGAUUAGCGAUCGCAUGGUUGGCGAAGCUUCUGCAAAGGAUUUUACUGGCCAUUCGGUAAGAGGUUGAGUAUGUGAAUGUCGAUAGAGAUUCAGAGUGUUCAUGAAAUGCUAACGGAAGGAUUUCAAGGAAUCUGGCUUUGAUUGCGCAAAGUCAUGUCAAUAAUAGGUAAAGAAUCUUGGUGGGUUUCAGAGUUGUGUAAUAGUGGCCCCAAGCUAAGUGGUAGAGUCCUACCGCCUAUGGUUGGGUUGCAUAGUCAUCUAUUCAUGAGAUUUCUAGUAAUUGGGAUAUUGAUGGGUUAUCUCAGCUAAGGGAAAAGAACAUAAGAGGUAAUUUGAGUAAAGGAAUUAUUAAGGUGUACUAUAGUUGGCCUUAUUGACUCAUGUUCAGACUUGGGGAAGGAUUAAGGAUUUAUGCCUUGUAUAGAUGCGGUUUUCAAUGAAAGUUAUUCGGUCGGGUGCUCCGUCGAGAGGGUAUUCAUGUGCUAGAAGAUUCAUGGAAUUGAUUAUAUUUGGGACCAAGUCAGAGUGGGUGGCUCUCAACCACGGUCCUAGUGAAUUUAAAAGUUAAAGUGUGGUGCCUAAUGAUUUCGAGCCUAUAAGUAUGGUUAAGAAUCGAGCUUUUGUAGAAGAUUAUGAUAAGAGGCUUGGAGUGUUCUAUGAUAUUUUCGACUUGCAUGGUAGCAUUUGGGAGGAAAAUAAGAAAAGACUUCGGAUUUGUAGAGGGAUUAUCAGAAUGGGCAUACCAGUUGAGGAUGCGAAUGUGCGCACAAGGGAGGUAUGAAAUGGUUCGUGGGAUUUGAGACAAUAUGGUCACGUGAUUCAAGGUCACUUGGGAUGAGUGCGGAUGGAGUAUGUUAUGUGUUGAAUAGAGUUAUUAUUAUUUCUAAGGCAAUCAAGGAUAAAUUGGAAGAAGCUAGAUUGGUUAGCCAUAGUCGAAUUGGCAUAUUGGUGGUAGUGACCAGUUCCUUCAGCGUGAUCAAGUUAUGCAAGUGAUUUGUGACGGUACAUGUGAGGCUUGUCGUCUGCCGUAAUUGAUGUUAUUCAGAAGUAUUCUACUAUUAUGGCCUGUUAUGUGUAGGCGGAUCCCGGAAGGGCUAUGGUGGCUUAGACCACUACUUAGAGAUUUGCAUAUUCUAUGGUUAUGAGAAUUCACUUGUGUGUUGCUAUGGUUCUCCUGAAGUGAGUUAAGUGAAAAGUUUCUAUAUGAAGAAGUGUUAAUCUAUUAGCAGUUCCGGAGUUAUGAUGAAAAUUGUGUUCUAUCGUAUAUUGGCAUGUUGGAUGCAAAGAGUGGUAUGUAUUUUGAAGUGAGGAUCAAGGUUGCGGUUCGGUAUUGACAAGGAUGUCACGAUCUCGGAUGAGCUGGAAAGGGAUUUGAAUAUUUAAAGUAAGCUAGCAUUGUCUUCAGCAUCACCUGAGAUCGGUGUUUAAAGGGCCAUGCAUCCUGGUUAUUGAUUCUUGAACGCUUUCUCAGUGUUAGUACGGCUGGUGGUAAGGAUGCGUAGACUUGUUGUCUGUUACGGAAGAUCGUGGGAGCGUGCCCCACAUGAAGAUUGUAUAAGUGUGGCAUGUAGUCACUUGAUUGAUUGAAGAAUUUAAAUCAAGUAUGAAGAUAGUGGUGAUAUCAUUAAUUUGAGAAUUUAUGCUUGGAGGGCAAUCGACUUAUUGGGUUGUGGACUGUGGGGGAUUGCCCCGGUUAUGAUGGUUGUUCUUGUGUGUUAUGGGAAAAAGGGGGUUAUUAUGGACCCAGGAAAGAUUAUUGGCCUAGUUCGGUACGAUCAGAAUCGGCUUGAGGGACGUGAAUGGAUUUAGAUAUGAAUAUGGGCUUUAUGUUGGGCCAUAUGUGUUCAUUUCAGCAUAACGCUCUUUAUGGAGGAGUAUUCAGACGUUGAAUGUUAUUUCGUCGUCGACUAUUUCAGGUAAUGCUAUAUUGUGCUGUGUGAGUUGCGAAAUGGAUUGAUAAACUUCUUGUGUGUUGAGGUUCCGCGUAGCGAUAAUGUUAUGUGAGCAGGAUGGCUCUUGAGAUUCAGAUCAUAUAUCACACCUCAGUUGUGCUUAAGUUUGUUAGCUUAUGGCGCUAUAUGUCUCCCUAGGGAUGGUAUUAAGCACUUAGCAUCCUUGUGAUUGAUAUUCGGUAUUUUUUUGUAACAAGCAAUUUAGCUCGGUGUGUAUCUCCUUAUGUGAAUUUUAUGUGUGGAUCGGGUGGCACGCCGUCAUGGGUAUGCUAUUUGGAUCAGGUUGCACGCCACAACAAUGUGAUGUUGUGUACAGUUUCUAUAUUCUGUGUUUGAGUGUUUGUUUUUCAUUUUCUGAGGAAAGUUCAUAGCAGUUGCGUGAGUUGAGUAGUCCCUUCUAGAGUUCGUCUUCCUUAUGUAUCACGUUCGAGUUGGUAGCCUAUUGGCACAUUGCGGCAUUAUAUGAGACUUUUGGUCAUGUCUGGGUAGCUUAUUGCCUGAGCAGUUCGUACUGGGUGAGAUGGGAUUAUUGAAACCAAGAUCAGUGCAAUCGGAUUACAUGAAGAAUAUUAAAGAGCAAAUACCAUUAUUUGGUGCAGAAGGAGGUAAUGAUUCUUGUCAUGACUAUAACCCCAAUGAUUUAUUGAUUCGGUAGUUGGUUAUGAAUCUCUACGUGCAUCUUCCGUCAUGGUGGUAUUGUAAGAGUUAGAGCAAUAUGUAUAUAGGUCAUGAGAUGCAUUGGGAGCGUCAGAUUCGUGGAAUUUCGACUAAUUCGAUCAGAGAAUGUUAUUGUGGUCCUGUGAGUAAAGUGGUGCAAGGUGUGAAUUCAGCAAAGGUAUGCAAUCAUGUUUUGGUGCUGCGUGUAGUGAUUGAUACGCUGAGCAUAUGUUGGAAACAAGUAUAGCAGAGAAUUACGGAUGUUAGAAUUGGGCUCUAAGGCUUAUUUGCUUAAGUGAAAAAGGAUAUCUUUAGAUUGAUCAAGCUAGGGUGCCCAACUGAGUUGUGGUAGCACGGGUAGGUGCUCGAGGUGUUAAAACGUGAUUUCGGACAAAUCCAGCAUUGAGGCAUGUUUGCGAACGAACGUAUAUUUAAGUGGGAAGAAUGUAAUGACCCGACAGGUCGUUUUGAGCUCUAACGCAUCGUUCAGCAGUUUGAGGCCAUGAGCAGCUUCGCUUUAGGUAUUAUGACUUGUACGCAUGGUCGAAAUUGAAUUCCGGGAAGUUCAAAGCUGAUUUGGGAAGAGAAUUUUCAUUUUGGAAGCAUUAAGUUGGAAGAACUGACCAAGAUUGGAUUUUUGGAGUAAACGACCUCGGGAUUAGGAUUCAAAAGUUCUAGCAGGUUCGUAUGAUGAUUUCGGACUCGGGCGUAUGUCCGGAUCGUGUUUUGGAAGACCUGGAAAUGUUUCAGCACCUAUUGUAGAAGUUAGCAUUUUUGGAAGAAUUUUAUAAGUUUGAGUUGAAGUGCAUUUCAGUGUUAUCGAUGUCCGUUUGGGAUUCCGAGUCUGGAAGUAGUUCCGUAUGGUGAUUCUAGUGUUAGGAGCCCGAUCGAAAGUGAAUUCGGAGGUCCGUGGGUCGUUUUGGAGUCAUUUGGCUAAAUAUAGAAAAUUGAAGGUUUUUGAGAAGUUUGAUCGUAAGUGGACUUUUUGAUAUCGGGGUCGGAUUCCGAAUCCGGAAGUUGGAAUAGGUCUGUAAUGUCAAAUGUGACUUGUGUGCAAAAUUUAAGGUCAAUCGAACAUGAUUUGAUAUGUUUCGGCAUCGAAUGUAGAAGUUUGAAAUUCCAAAGUUCAUUAAGAAUAGAUUGGAGGUCGAUUCAUGAUUUUAGCAUUGUUUGAUAUAAUUUGAGGCAUCGAGCAAGUCCGUAAUAUAUUUUGGGACUUGUUGGUAUGAUUGGUUGGGGUCCCGGGGUCCCGGGGGCCUUGGGUGUAUUUCGGAUGGUUGACGGAUCAAAAAAAUGGAAUUUGGAGAAGGUAUGAUGCAGGUGGUAUCUGGUGUAACCGCACCUGCGAGGUUUUGGNNNNNNNNNNNNNNNNNNNNNNNNNNNNNNNNNNNNNNNNNNNNNNNNNNNNNNNNNNNNNNNNNNNNNNNNNNNNNNNNNNNNNNNNNNNNNNNNNNNNNNNNNNNNNNNNNNNNNNNNNNNNNNNNNNNNNNNNNNNNNNNNNNNNNNNNNNNNNNNNNNNNNNNNNNNNNNNNNNNNNNNNNNNNNNNNNNNNNNNNNNNNNNNNNNNNNNNNNNNNNNNNNNNNNNNNNNNNNNNNNNNNNNNNNNNNNNNNNNNNNNNNNNNNNNNNNNNNNNNNNNNNNNNNNNNNNNNNNNNNNNNNNNNNNNNNNNNNNNNNNNNNNNNNNNNNNNNNNNNNNNNNNNNNNNNNNNNNNNNNNNNNNNNNNNNNNNNNNNNNNNNNNNNNNNNNNNNNNNNNNNNNNNNNNNNNNNNNNNNNNNNNNNNNNNNNNNNNNNUUUUGGCCGCAGGUGCGGAGCUGCAGAAGCGGCCAUAGGAUCGCAAAUGCGAUUUUAGUGGGGAGAGCUGGGACCGCAGAUGCGGUCAUUUUUUCACAGAAGCGAGACCUCACCUGAGGAGAGGACGCAGAAGCGGGAGUGGGCUGGGAGACCUGGACCACAAAAGCGGUAUUUUGUCUGCACCUGUGGGACCGCAGAAGCGGUUAAGAGACCGCAGGUGCGAGAGGUAGUGAGCUCUCCUUAAAAAUUGAGUUUUGGCUCAUUUCUACCCAUUUUCAUUUCAGGUUGGGUGAUUUUAGAGCUUUAGGAAUUGUUAUAAAUUGAAUUAUAAUGAGUAAUUGAACAUAUAUUAAUGAGUUUGCAUAAUUAUUGGCUAGUUUUGGAGCGUUGUGCAUCAAUUUGAGUCUUCAGAAGGGCAGGGAAUGCUGGUGAUGGAUCUUUGGAGCGAGGUGAGUCUCCUUUCUAACCUUGUAAGAGGGAAUUGACCCUAUAGGUGAAUUAAUUGGUUAUGUGCUUCUAUUUAUGGGGGCUACGUACACACGAGGUGACGAGAGUCCGUGCGUAGCUACUAUUAUGUGUAAGUCCUUGUAGUCUAGGAUCCAAAAGCAUGCUAUACUUGAAAUAUUUGUAAUCUUAUUGACAGUUGAAUUGCUUAAAUCCUAUCGAAUUGGUAAGUGAAUUUCUUAAAGGAUUAAACUUCAUUUUCUUAAAUCAUUAAAAGAGAAUUGGCUUUUAUUGAAUAAAUGUUCCCCGAUAAAUUCUUAAUUGGCUGUUUGAAUGUGUGUAUCUAUGUGUGCCCGGUAUGAUUCGUGAGCGGGGUGUUUGUUUAUUUAUGUUGACCGCGCUGCAUGUAUGAUUUACGAGCGGGGUAAUAGAUGCAUAUAUGGUUCGCGCCGUUCGACCCUCGGCAAUGCACAUAUUACAUUUAUGUUGGAUCGUACGACCUCGGCAUGAUAUGUGCUGCUUGUAUUGUUUGCUUGAGAUUUAUAAAUGUUGAUAUUUGCCUUUUCUGGCUGGAGAUAAAUUGAUAAAACAUGAUGAAAAGUAAAUCUUUGGAACCCAUUAUUAUUUGAGAAGUUGUUUACCUACUAUCCGGCUUUAUGAGUUUAUAAUUGCUUUAUAAAUCCAUGAUCUCCUCCCAUUUUUACAAAUAUUAUUAUUGGACCACUAGUAAGUGUCGAAGUCGACCUCUCAUCUCUACUUCUUCGAGAUUAGACGGGAUACUCACUAGGUACACGUUAUUUUCGUACUCAUACUACACUUGUUGUGCAUUUUUGUUGCACAGGCACAUGCCUCUCUAGUGGCCUAGUGGGCAUAGCAGCAUGGUUGAUACGGAGACUUAGGUGAGCUGCACUUCUUGAGAUGACCCGCAGCCAGCAGAAUCUCUUUCAGAUUACUGUAUUUACUUUUCGUCCAAUAUUGUAUUCCGGACGGUUGUUGUAUUACAUUAUUUCCUAAAAAUUGUUCAUCCACUUGUGACACCGGGUCUGGGAUAAUUAUGGGGUAUUCUGUAUUUACUUCUAAACAUUCUUUUAUUUAAUUUCAUAAAGAUUAUCUUUUACUAUCUGAAUUGAAGGAAAAUUUCAGUUUUCAAAAUUAUUAAGAUAAGAAUUAAAUUAAGCAUUUAUGGUUGGUUUGCUUGACAGCGGUGUUCGACACCAUCACAAACCUUAGCGGAUUUUAGGUCGUGACAAUUAUACUAUAUUUGAUUGACGGUAUAAAUUUAUACUGUCACACCUCUUUUUUCCCGAGGGGAUAGAGAGUUUUUCCAAUUUAAGUGACAUUAAUCGAAAUAGGAUUAUUUAUUUAAUUUUUAGAGUCGCCAUUUGGGAUAAUUAUAUGGUGUCCCAAGUCACCGGUUUAUUUUAAAUCCCAAAUCAAGGAAAAUUGACUCUAUUUUUGGUCCGCGAACACAAAAUACCGGGUAAGGAAUUCUAUUAAUUCGGGAGAAGGUGUUAGGCAUUCCCGAACUCCGUGGUUUUAGCACGGUCGCUCAACUAUUAAUAAUUGGCCUAAUUAUCUGAUUUAUUACAUAUUUAAAACCUAUUGUACAUUUUUAACUUUUAACCGCUUUUAAUUAUUUAAACAAUUAUGGAAUUUGUUGAACAAGCCACGAUGUCGUGCACUUGUUUGUUUUUGUACACAUUGCAAAUUGCGUCACGGGAUCCCUACCCACCAUCUACAACAUAUUUAUUUUAUUUAUUAUUUAAAGUGAUGGUUGAGUCACGUGAAAUGCACACUUGACUUGGGAUUAUGUAUCAUGACUAUGUCAUGGGAAUCGUACUCAUAGUCACAAUGAUUUAGUAUUAAUCACGCCUAAAGCCACUAGCGCAUUUGAAUUAUGUUCUUAAUCUUUGAGAUUAUUGUGAGGCUCAAGAGCUUAUGGAAUUAUUUGGAAAAAAUAUUCUAAAUAGUUUAAGUUGACUAAAUAUUUUUGGAGCAUGCAUAGACAUUUAUUCAUUAUUGAAGAAUUGGGGCUAACUAAUUAAUAAAGAAAUGGGCCAACCGUAGAAUACAUCUUGGUCUAGAUUCCUUAAAAAAUAGCCACAUAUACAUAAGGCCCAUAUAUAAUCCAAGCAUUCUACAAUUACAGCCAAACCUAACUCCUCACUUUUAAAUCCAAUUUAGCAAUGCACGGUUCAUGAUAAAUUCUCGGCAGAUAACUACUAUUAUAGUGAAUCUUGACAAAAUAAACUCUAACUAAAAGAUCAACAUAACAUGAACUAAUAUAAUGUAAAAUAAAUCAUGAAACAUGGAAUCUGACUACAAAUAAAGGGCAUCAAAAGGCAUUUAAAGUUCAAAAUGGAGCAUGACAUACUUAAUCAAAGUGAAAUAUUAUUCCAGCCAAAACAUAAUUUGAAAGAAAGAACAAAGAGAGAGUAGAAACUGGACCUCAAAAUGAGCUUUCACAAAAAUAAAACGAGCUACUACCAAUCGGACCUACGAGUGGAACCUCCCCUUCGAACCAGAGAAUCUGGGCAACGUCGGGAACUGAAUAGAGCUCGGACGCGACUGCGGACUCACCUUUGGAGCUGCUGAUUUGGUGCAGAAAGGGAUUGUUUCCAUGUUUUAGGCGGUUUCAAUGGUGCGACGGAGCUCGAUUUUUGGAGCUUGGUCAUGGUUGUUUUUAGCAAAGUUUGGGGCUGGUUUUUAGCCUAUUUUCAGAUGGUGUAAUGUUGUGUUUGCAGUUAGUUUCAGCUGCGAUUUGGGAGAAUUUAGAGGUGCGUUUAAGGUUGUAAUGGAAGUGGGUUCACAUAGGUAUGAGCUACUGGUUUCUAUGGUCAAAACAAAGAAGCUAAGGUGAAGAAAAUGAAGUUUUGUGGGGAUGGAUCUGCUAGAUUGAGGUAGAGGAAACAGACGAGCAGGAACGAAAAAUUCUCAAAGGCUAAUGCCUCACGUUUCUCUUUCCCGUUCUCUACUUUCUCUUUUUCAAGCUGCUGUCGUUCUUUUGUUUUGGUUCUCUUCUAUGGGAGGGGAUCUAGAAUUAGGUCUAGGUUUUGGGAAAGCCUCCUUUUAAAAAGAGGAAAUUAUGGGGGAUAUUGGGUUUUGGGUACUGGGCUAGGUGAAUUGGGUUAAGUUUUGGGCCAAUUCGGGCCAUGACUUAGAUAUUUGGACAAAGCAAG
rnacentral:lncRNA from 1 species